rnacentral:lncRNA from 1 species
CUGGGUCGGGGGCUGCAGGUGGGAGUGAGCAAAUGUGCUGUCUCGCCACCUCGGGACAGGUGGUAGGGCCUCUGACACAGAGUGGUCCUUCCUGCUGUUCACAGCUCAGCUCACCGUGGGCUGACCAUAGAUUCUCGUUGAAAUCCUAACGCCCCAGGCAAUGAUGUUAGGAGGCGGGGCUUCUGGGAGAUGGCAAGUUCGUGAGGCUGCAGCUCUGCUGGGGGAUCAGUGUCCUUCUACAAGCGGCUCCAGGGAGGUCCCUUGCCCCUUCCACCAUGUGAGGACCCGAGAUGGUGCCGUCUAUGAACCGGGAAGUGAGUCCUCUCCGGACGUGGAACAAGUUGGUGCCUUGAUUUUGAACUUGCAGCCUCCAGAGGAGCACCUGUUGAAGAAUCAUGACCUCUAUCGAGCAUUUACCUGGUCACGGACAUUUUGCUGAAGAAUUCACAAGUUCAUAUAAGGACACGCUUCAUCUCAAGUGUCCAGUUCAAUGAGUUCUGACAGAUACGGACAGUCGUGUGACUCCAGAUCACAAUGUAGGACGUUCUGGUCACCACGGGCUCCUGGAUGCCUCUUCCUACACGGCCACUAGCACGUUUGAAGUCACACACAGGGUAGCGCCGGCCUGGACAGAGGCGGACAUCUGACAAGCGGGCCAAUGAGGAUGACAUCUCGGACGGUAGUCACUGCUACAACGAAAGUCAGUGCCCCACCUUGCCCAGCCGCAGGGUGGACCCUAAGCAGCUCGCCCCACCCAGCCGGUCCUGCCUGCUCUGUCCCUCCCAACCCUGCAAUGGGCAGAUUUCUGGGGGGCAGUCUCUGACCCACUGUGGCCCAGGUACAGAACCCCGCCUUCAAGUCUCUGGGCCUCAGUUUUCUCAUCUGUGUGUUGGGGACAAAGACGCCGCCCGGCCAUCUCACCAGGCUGCCGAGCAGCGUGGAAGAGCUCUGGCUGUGAGUUCCAGAGUUCACAAGUCCGUGUAAUGGAGGCAUCGGCCGGCCUGGUUCCUUGAGAGGGGGUGAGGGAUCUGCUUCCCACUUCCGGCUUCUGGGGCUGUGCCGCAGUUUCUGCUGCUCUUCUGCUUGUGGAAGCAUCAUGGUCUCUGUCUUCACCUCACACCUGCUCCCUGUGCCCGUCUGUGCCCAAUUUCCCCUUUUCUCAGGGCCCAGACAUCUUAGAUAAGGGCUCACCCCAACCUAGCAUGACCUCAUCUUAGCCAAUUACGUUACCAGUGACCCUAUUUCCAAAUAAGGCCACUUCCUGGGGUGCUGGGGAAAGGACUUCAACGUGAAGUUUUGGGAGACACAGGUGCGCCCACAUCACCAGGGGUGUGUGAGCAUGAUGAGCAGCUCGGGGCUCUGGACCUGUCUGCGGGAGCUCCGAGUCCCACGGCACUUGGAGCUGGUUGAGAAUGGGGCUGGGAGCCCCAGGUCAGGUUGAAUUGGUGCUGGGGACACAUGUCUCGUCCCUGGUUCCCCCAGGCUUUAUUAUGACGCACAGUUUCCCGAGAAGCGGAGUCUGAGAUGGAGACUUUUGUACAAGGGACUCACUGAGAGGUACUCCCAGGAGAAAGUGGGGGUGAGACGCAGGACUGGGGGAGCUGAGCUGGGAGGGGCUCUCAGCCACAGCCCAGCCACAGCCCCAGAACCUGAAACGCACCCCAGAGUCAGCCCCACUCACUCAGAAGGGGGGUCCCUGCACCCUCCUCUGGCAGCCAUUGGCUGUGGUGGCCUCACAGGUGGGGCCCAGGGGUCUGUGUUCACACUGCCCAGCAGCAGGCGAGGCACACGGUGGGCUCUGGACGGUGGGCACUUGCUGGCUACACGUGGGGACAGAGCGGGUCCUUCCCUGCACCCUCUAUUCAUUUAUCCACACAGGGAUUAAUUCGUUUGUCCACUCGCUGGUUCCAUUCAGCACACCCCAUUCGCUCAGCUCAGCGUGGGCGGCAGAGGGGUCAGAGGUGGUGGGGGCCCAUGACCUCCUCUCUGGAGCUGCGCUAAACUGGCCAGCUGGCUCCUGGCUGGGGCCUCUCUGGGACUCAUCCUCCUGCCCUACUCACCUCCCUCUGCCUCUGUGCUUGCUGCUGACCACCACCCAAAGAAGCAGGCAUUUCUGGGCGAGGUGGGUCCCGGCCCCCUGUGGCCGAAGGUGUUCCCUGGGAAUGGACAGCUGUGAGCAGGCGGAGCCACACACAGAGCCACCGACCGGGCUGUGUAGGUGAAGGAGCCACGUGGAGGUGUGCAGGAGGUGGAACACUUAGGACCCUUUCCCGUGGGCAGAGACCCAGUGCCGGGGGAGGCCUGGCUGGGUCGUACCCCCAGCCUCACCCUGGCUCAGGACACCGGCACCCAGAAUCCUUGGGCCACUCCGAGCCCAGAGGCACCCAGGCCCUCCUUGAGCUACAUGCAGCUUUAAAACACACAUGUCCUUUGACCUCCUCCCACCCAGGGGGUUUCUCUGCUCUCUCCCCUUGAAUCUGGCGGCCUCCACCCCGCCCCGACCCCACACAAAUGAAUGAGCGUCCCCAGCCUUCUCAGCCCUGAGCACCAUCGCGGAUGGCAUUGCGGGCGCUUCUCCACCGUCUGCAUCAGCCCCCGACAGACGGUCCCAGUGGGACUGUGUCCCUAUUACCUGUGUGUCCCCAUCCCCUGAGCGGACCCGGUCGACUCAGUGCCAUGUGUACGAUGGGUAAAGGAUGAAUUUGUGAAACAUUUCAGAUACAUUACACUUGACACCAUGUUAGCUCCACUUUCACCUUUUUCGGUUCUUAAUAUUCCAGAAGCCCCAGUAAGACAGAAGAGUCUUGGGCCCCGGGUCUGGGGAGGCACCCAGAGCCCUUCACGGUUUCUUGACUGUCCUCGGAGAGGCGCUGAGCUCCGGGGGCGCAUCCAGCUCCCAGUGAAUUCUGGCGGCCACUGAGGAAGCUUCUGCUGAGAGAAUUAGGGAAAGGACCCCCCCAGGAGGGUCUUUGCUGGAGCAGACGCCCCGCAUCACCACCUGCUGCCCAUCCAUCCUGGCCAGCGGCUCCCAUACCCACUCCUGCCGCUGGGGGCUGACCGUGGCACCAACUCUUUUUUCCAUGGAAGCUGCCCUUUGGUUUAUGGUUGCUUCUUGUUUCUGGAACCUUUGUACCAGGAUCCCUGCCCCUGUGCGUGGCAGAAGUCUCCAAGGUCAUUCACCCCGGCCACGCUGCCUGGGGCUCCGGGACCGGCCACUCUUUCCUGACCACGUGGCUGUUCUUCACCAUCCUGCCUGGCGGCUUGUCCCGCCAGGGCUGGCAGGGUCUUCAGGAUAAGGCUGUGGCCCCCUGGGGUAGUUCCUCAGGCCAUAGGGAGGACGCUCAGCGGGCGAGAGCUGUGAGCUGGAUGGUGUGGACCUGACUGUGAGCAGCCACUCUCUGGGCUGGCAGACAUCCCAGGGCGCUGGGCUGUAGCUUCUCCCUCAUCACUAGCGGAGGGCGGCCUGCGGCGGAGGGUCUGGACUGUGUGGUCUGGGCCCUGCAGUCCCCAUGGCUUCCCAGGCAGCCCCCAACCUCACUCUGGGUGAGACACUGGGGACUGUGCCCAGGGGGCAGGCGGCCUCUAAGUGCACAAGGUGAUGUGCCCCUCCCACUUCCAAUGUCCCAGG